ACUAAGUGGAAAAAGUAAAAGAGCAACUUAAGCGGGACAAGGGGACAAUAGGAGCCUGAGAACGGGUCUCUGGUGUUGGCUUAUAGGAGUCGGGGCCACAUAAAAGCGUGCGUGUGCUUGAACUCUUUAGGAAAGGAGGAGUUUAGAUGCUUCAACUACAGAAGGAAGGCAGAAGCAAUAACAGGCGCUAGAAUCGGUCGGAUGGAGUAGAUCACUGGGAAGGACUGAAGAAAAGGCUCGGUGAGACUAAGAUGCAACCCCAGAGGAGGAGAGCAGUCCGCAGACUGGAGAACAGGUUCGGUCAUCGGCUGGGGUCGAGGGAGUCAGGGUGGUUGGGCGGGCACUUCUGACCCCAGCUCCAUUGACCGAAGGAACCAAGGUAGGUGGAGGCUACGCAGAGGUCCCAGCAAGAAGUCGCAUCACCCUGGCCGCUGUCACCGGUGAUCGCGGCACGACCCCGACGUGGGCUCCCGUACCUUCUAAGGUGACAGU
rnacentral:lncRNA from 1 species